UGCAUAUCAAUAAGCGGAGGAAAAGAAACCAACCGGGAUUGCCUCAGUAACGGCGAGUGAAGCGGCAAAAGCUCAAAUUUGAAAUCUGCGUAAGCCGAGUUGUAAUUUGAAGAUGGCUACUUUGGUAAUGGCUCUUGUCUAUGUUCCUUGGAACAGGACGUCACAGAGGGUGAGAAUCCCGUGCGAUGAGAUGUCCAUUACCGUGUAAAGUGCUUUCGAAGAGUCGAGUUGUUUGGGAAUGCAGCUCUAAGUGGGUGGUAAAUUCCAUCUAAAGCUAAAUAUUGGCGAGAGACCGAUAGCGAACAAGUACAGUGAUGGAAAGAUGAAAAGAACUUUGAAAAGAGAGUGAAAAAGUACGUGAAAUUGUUGAAAGGGAAGGGCUUGAGAUCAGACUUGGUAUUUUGUAUGGCUUGCUUUCGGGCGGGUCCUCUGCAGUUUACUGGGCCAGCAUCGGUUUGGGUGGCAGGAUAAUAGCAUAGGAAUGUGGCUCUACUUCGGUGGAGUGUUAUAGCCUUUGUUGAUACUGCCUGCCUAGACCGAGGACUGCGUCUUUGACUA
rnacentral:rRNA from 1 species